rnacentral:rRNA from 1 species
UUGAACGCUGGCGGCAGGCCUAACACAUGCAAGUCGAACGGUAACAGGAAGCAGCUUGCUGCUUCGCUGACGAGUGGCGGACGGGUGAGUAAUGUCUGGGAAACUGCCUGAUGGAGGGGGAUAACUACUGGAAACGGUAGCUAAUACCGCAUAAUGUCGCAAGACCAAAGAGGGGGACCUUCGGGCCUCUUGCCAUCGGAUGUGCCCAGAUGGGAUUAGCUUGUUGGUGGGGUAACGGCUCACCAAGGCGACGAUCCCUAGCUGGUCUGAGAGGAUGACCAGCCACACUGGAACUGAGACACGGUCCAGACUCCUACGGGAGGCAGCAGUGGGGAAUAUUGCACAAUGGGCGCAAGCCUGAUGCAGCCAUGCCGCGUGUAUGAAGAAGGCCUUCGGGUUGUAAAGUACUUUCAGCGGGGAGGAAGGGAGUAAAGUUAAUACCUUUGCUCAUUGACGUUACCCGCAGAAGAAGCACCGGCUAACUCCGUGCCAGCAGCCGCGGUAAUACGGAGGGUGCAAGCGUUAAUCGGAAUUACUGGGCGUAAAGCGCACGCAGGCGGUUUGUUAAGUCAGAUGUGAAAUCCCCGGGCUCAACCUGGGAACUGCAUCUGAUACUGGCAAGCUUGAGUCUCGUAGAGGGGGGUAGAAUUCCAGGUGUAGCGGUGAAAUGCGUAGAGAUCUGGAGGAAUACCGGUGGCGAAGGCGGCCCCCUGGACGAAGACUGACGCUCAGGUGCGAAAGCGUGGGGAGCAAACAGGAUUAGAUACCCUGGUAGUCCACGCCGUAAACGAUGUCGACUUGGAGGUUGUGCCCUUGAGGCGUGGCUUCCGGAGCUAACGCGUUAAGUCGACCGCCUGGGGAGUACGGCCGCAAGGUUAAAACUCAAAUGAAUUGACGGGGGCCCGCACAAGCGGUGGAGCAUGUGGUUUAAUUCGAUGCAACGCGAAGAACCUUACCUGGUCUUGACAUCCACGGAAGUUUUCAGAGAUGAGAAUGUGCCUUCGGGAACCGUGAGACAGGUGCUGCAUGGCUGUCGUCAGCUCGUGUUGUGAAAUGUUGGGUUAAUUCCCGCAACGAGCGCAACCCUUAUCCUUUGUUGCCAGCGGUCCGGCCGGGAACUCAAAGGAGACUGCCAGUGAUAAACUGGAGGAAGGUGGGGAUGACGUCAAGUCAUCAUGGCCCUUACGACCAGGGCUACACACGUGCUACAAUGGCGCAUACAAAGAGAAGCGACCUCGCGAGAGCAAGCGGACCUCAUAAAGUGCGUCGUAGUCCGGAUUGGAGUCUGCAACUCGACUCCAUGAAGUCGGAAUCGCUAGUAAUCGUGGAUCAGAAUGCCACGGUGAAUACGUUCCCGGGCCUUGUACACACCGCCCGUCACACCAUGGGAGUGGGUUGCAAAAGAAGUAGGUAGCUUAACCUUCGGGAGGGCGCUUACCACUUUGUGAUUCAUGACUGGGGUG